AUUGCAGAAAUCCACAAGCUCUCAAAAUCUUCCAGUCUGAGGUGUGGCAGGGUUGCUGCUGUCAGAUCUUGUCAUGGGCUAAGAGCUCCCAGGUGCUGAGGUCAACGUUGUAAGAUUGGAGAUGAGACAAUGCCAAAAAAAGACUGAGAGAAAGGAGAUGGUGCCUUGUGCAACAGUAACUUCUUAUAUCUACAGUGACUUCCAUGUGGAGGCUCUCAAGUCCUUUACGCCCAAGACAUUGAUGAAGAGCUGAGGCCCAGAGUGAUGAAGUGACUUGCCCAACAUCGCAUAAUGAGCACCUGAUGGACAAGACUUUCUUCCCAAUCAACACAGACCCUUUGCAUCUGUCCAUCAGUUGAAGAACAUAAUUAAUUCCGUCUCUGCACCAAUACCCACCACUGCUGAAUCGAGAGAAUCUGUGGACUACUGAUACAGUUGGAGCUGUGCUAACAAUACUUUCGGCUUUGAACUUCCAGAUGCUACUUCUGUGUGGAGUGAACAUGCAGCCUUCAUUCGACUUACUUGAUUAAAUAGAAUUUACAUUUCUCUGGGAUUUUUAACCAGAAAUAUCAGGUAUGUUCCAUUUCCUGCCUGGUUAGCCUCCCUAUACUUCCUUUUUUGCAGUGGCUUUUGAAAGCCACAAGAUUUUUUCUUAAGUGUUCAGUUGCCCCCUAGUGGGCUUCAGGAAAAUAACAUCCUCAUAGUUUCUUAUGGCCACUGUGACCAAUCUGCACUAGGACAUGCAAGAGCAAGAAAAAAAUCUUAUGGGCAUGUUCUAAGACUGGAGUAACUCCACUGACUUCAGCAGAGUUACUCGGCAUUCAUACUGGGGUAAUCGAGAUCAGAAUCUUGGCCUAUCUUCUAGGAGAUGGAACAAAGAUGCUUGCCCUCAUCUGUGGCUAUGGCAGGGCUGCUUUCCUCUAAGUGUCUGCCAGGAAAGAAAGCCGAGGGCAGUCAAACCUUUCUCUAAUCCCCAAAGUGAAACAGCAUUACACUUCUCUAGAAACAUGCUUGUGGAACUCUGGUCCUUAAUAGCAGUUUUUACUUUUGUGUAGUGAUCAUGCUGUACCUUGUGCUGCUCCUUUCUGAAGUGCAUGUAGAUAGUCUGAUGGCUUUUACCCCACACACAUCUGUUUAAAAACAAUUUCUUCCAUAGACUCCCUGGAUCCCAAACGCAGCUCCCAACAUCUUUUACCCAUCUGUUGGUAUUGUUAAACUAUUUAAACAAAAUUCUUCAUACCAGCUCGGGUUCAGCCUGGUGUGAUGGCCCUGCCCCCACUCAAUUUCCAGUAGAGUUGGGAUUUGAUAUUUUAAAUACAAAAAUAAUGUAAUUUAAUAUGCAAGCUCCUGUGCCCUACUGUUUGUUGCUUCUUCAUGCAGCAUAGUUCAUGAACCUGUGCUAACAGUGAGGGAUUUUGGGGGAAAAAAAGCUCUGAUCCAUAAUACUGUCCUUCCUCUCCAUAAAUGGGCAUGAAUUACAAUCUACAGCAAAAUUGAUUAUUACCCCCACCUUUAUAUCAUGGUACAGGACUCUUAAGUCCAGGAUCAAAUGAAAGAGCUCAGCUGUAGCUAUCUUGCUCUACAUGUGCAAUGAUGCCAACCCCAUUCAUGAAGACUAACUUGAAAGUUCACUUUCAAGAAAGAGUUGCACAUUAAAUACAUCUGUUUAAGACCAGCUGCUGUGAAACCAUCUUCCCACCAAGGCUGUAGCUGGUAUCAAGGUUCAUACAGUGACCUUUAAGUGUAUGGAUGGUGGGCAGAUCAGUGUGUAAUUAAUGCAAAAAUACCCCCUUCUGCUCUCUAACUUAGCCUCUCCAUAGAGGUUAGUAAUUAGGACCAACAGCUUUAGUCCAGAUGCUGCAUUCCUUUUUGAAGGGUGUUUCAAGUGUGUGCAGUUUAAAAAUCUUUAGGGUAAAGAACUGCUGUUUUCACUAAUAUCCUAAAAUGAAUGAAAUAUAAGGUCUGAUUAACUUCUUCCCAAAAGUAAAUCUCUGUCAAGCAAUGGUUUAUUGAGGUGGAGAAGGCAGUUAUGCUUUUUCACCACUAAGUCAGAACAGUUAUGGGCAAUGCUCUUGAGUAGAUACUGAAAGUGUGCUAUUAAAGCACUUGCAGUCUGUGUGGCUUUUUUUUAACUCACCUUGCUUUCAUCCUGUGAGAACAAGCCAGGUACUAACCCCCUUUGCUGCAGUAAUUAAAGGAAAAUCCAUCUAAUGAGAGCUCACAGUCAGCAAGGUCCAACAUUUGGAAUUCAUUAGUGACCAAACCUGAAGAGGUAGUGUAACAAUCAUUCUGGGGUAGUGCAGACAGAUCACCCCUUCACCAACACAAUUUUAGAAAAUAUAGCCCCCAUUCAGGUACUGAAAUAAUACUGUGAGUGUCCUGCCGCUGCAUUAUACCCUCACCAGGCCUUUGACAUUCACAAGAAAAAUAUAACUAUUACUUAUCCCCAUCAUUUCAUAUAACUUCAUUCGUUACCAAGCACCCUGUGAAGGGAACUAAAUCUUAGGUGGCAGCAGCCAGUAGGGCCAACGACUGAUUCCAUGGAUUGUCUGUAAGAGAACUGAGUUGAAACUAUACUGGCUUAAAAUAAAUUGGGCCACACUCAGAUGCUGCUGCCCCCUUUCCCCCUUUGACUGUUUUGGCCCUAAACCCUUACAAAGGCAAUUUGAGAAAGGGGCUUGACCAACCCCCUUAAAGAGGGGUGGUGAGUAUGGAUAUGAGGGAAUUUCCACCUCAUUUCGUCCAGGGCAAAGGCUAGAAGCACUUCUGCAGUGGUUAUAAGGCACUUAAGUUGAUCUUGCUCUUCUUCAACCACGAUAUUCCUUCAGCAGCUGCCCUGCUAUCACUAGUCUCUGGAUCUCACUUGUCCCCUCAUAGAUUUCUGUGAUUCGAGCAUCCCGGUAGUGGCGUUCUGCUGGCAUUUCUGUUACGUAGCCCAUUCCUCCCAGGAUCUGGAUGGCCUGAAACAAAAGCAGUGAGUCUUAUGUCAGAGACUCCGUGCACCAUGGAGACUGCAAUCCUCAUGUGAGUGACCCUAGUCUAGUAGCAACCACAGGGAGUAGAGAGAGGUCAUAGGGUGUAUUAGUCAUGCUGGUACCUGACGGACCUUCUCUGUAGUGAGCCUGAUGCAAACUGUGUUGGACCAAGGAUACAGCCUUGAGUUAUUUGCCCUCCCUCCUUUCAUUAGGUGCAAUGCUACAGGGAACGGCACAGAAACUGAAGUGGUGGUUGGGUAAGCAGUAGCAUAUUUCACCAUUGCACUACUUGGGCUUCAAGCCUGCCCUGCUGCUAUACAGAUCUAGGCCUAGCAGCUGAAGGGACUUUCCACAGGGGACAGAAUAGCCCACAGCCUUUAAACAGAUGUAAGCACCAAGGCCAGAGAGGAAUUACAGCAGUACAUGGUGUAUAUGCAAGAAAGUUGAGCUCUUUCCUUUAUAUAUACUUAAUUUUAGGCUUGGAAGAAUUAAGUUUUUAAAUGUGUAUAUCAUAUACACACAAACUGCUUAAAAUAUUUUCAUUGAUAAAUAAAAAUACUGCUUGAGAACCCAGUUUGAUGUAAGGAUAUUUACUUCUAUAUUUUGACACAUGUUGACAAUUGGUGGUAUAAAGUUUUAUAAACUGUCAUUAAAUCAUUGCCUAACUUUCCACAACUGACAUUUAAAUAGAUAAUAAAUAUUGCUAUUAUCCAUCAGUUAUAACACUACAAGUAAUGUCUGGUCAAGCCUACUUAUUGUAAUCCAGAGAGGGAAGGCUGGACAAGCUUAUCCCCCUGGUGUGUUGGAGCAGAGACCCAGUCUCUCUUAGGCUAGUCUGUGAGUGGUGAAGAAGAGACAGAUGGUUACCUGAUGGGAAAUGGCAGUUGCAGCUUCUGAUGCAGCUAGCUUGGCCAUUGCAGCUUCCUUUAAAAACAAAGAUAUUUUGUAGACUUUAUAUAGCAGGGUGCUAGUAUCAAUAUUCGUGCACCACCUGAAACAAAACUUUGUGUACAAGCAAAUGAGCCAGAAUUCACACCCUCUGUGAUUAAAUGUACUUUUCCUGAUAGUCUCAUGCUGGAAUUUGAGCAUUCAUUGAUAAGUCCUCUCCAGCUGUUUGAUUAGAAGAUGCAAGUGGUGAGAGGGGCUGGAGCUAACAGCCAAAGAAAAAGCACAUGGCUCCAGUACACACAGGAAAUGGGACACACUUAAGUUGCCCAUGCCCAGAUUGCUGUAUGCAUGAACUUCUUUUUACUAUUGGAAUGUUGAUUUGUUAAGUGUUUAAUAAUUAAAUUGUCAGUGAUAAGGCAGGCAGGUUGGUUGGAGACUCUGGCUGAUACUUUGAAUGAUAGAAACAAACUUCAUUUAAAAGAAAAAAUGAUUAGUUAAGCAAACAAGCCUACAAUUAUACUUGCAUUCAGAGAUGGAAUGGUGUAUUAAUGGGUGAUUAAAGUUGUAUUGCAUUCUGAUGUAAAUGGCCUAUUCUGUAACCUAAUGGUAGCUCCUCUAAAUUUAGCAAGUUUUUUUUUUAAUAACUCAUUAAUUAAACCUACCCAUUACCAUCUCUGCCAUCUUUUGAAUGUACACAAUUUAAAUAUCUGAACCAAUGUUAUCAAAUAUAUAACAAUUUUAAAAAACCCUUUAGUCAAAGUAUAGGCACAACAUAGCUCUGGGUCUUGUUCUCCAUUCUGCUGUCUCCAACUUAAGUUAAAAAUAACUAAACAAGAUGGAAAAUUGGGCUUCAUGACCAGAGCAAUGGUCGAGAGGAAGCUGUAAAACCCCAUUACACAGAAAAUUAGGUCCAAAGGGAGGUUUUUGCUUCAUCCCAAGGGCUGGCUUAUGCCCUGAAGCAAAAGGGUUUGUAGCAAAUUAUCCUAUUUUAUUAUUAUUUUUCAAACCAUGCUAAGCUCUUGGCCUUACUGUUGUUGUUGGCAGCGAGUUCUAGAUAUUACUGUUAAGUUGUGAAAAGUUUUUCUCUAUAUUGUCACUGAAACCCUGGACAGAAGAAAAAAAUAAAAACACACUUUUCCUCCA